rnacentral:rRNA from 1 species
AUGAUGGCUGUAGCCUGCCCUUUUUGGUGCCUACUGUACGCGCGCGGUGCUUUCGGAUGCUUUGAGCUAGUGUGCCGUAUGCUCCGCCACAUUUUGCACCCAUUGGUUAUUUGGCUUGAUAGGUGCGCCCGCUGGUGCAGCAGCGGUUCCAUGUUUCUGUGCACUUCCCAGUAUUCUGGUUUAGGAUUUAAGGUUGUGCCCCCAAAAAUCAAAUUCUUUGCAUGGUUAGCUCUACAAGAUUGGAUUUGGACCGCCGAUAGGUUGGGGAAGCGGGGUUGGCAAAAUUGUGGUCUCUAUCAACUUUGCAAAAGAGCAAGAAAUGAGAGCACAUCUCUUCUUCAAAUGUCGUUGCACCCUUAG